rnacentral:rRNA from 1 species
CGAUGAAGAGCGCAGCCAGCUGCGUUAAUUAAUGUGAAUUGCAGGACACAUUGAACAUCGAGAUCUUGAACGCAUAUGGCGGCCUCAGGCACUCCUGAGGCCACGCCCGUCUCAGGGUCGGUU